UCGUGCUAGAUGGGGAGCUAGCGGUGCCCUGUACCCGCAAUCCGCUCUAGCGGGGUUGAAUUCCUGGGUUGAGGGCGGCGACAUGAGAACUACCGACGCCAAGCAGUGAUGAAGUUUGGGUCCCGCGCGGCGGCCCGCCGUGAACCCCGUCAGGUCCGAGAGGAAGCAGCGGUAAGCGGUUGUCGGUCGGGUGACGCGGGAGUGCCUGGGCAGAGCCGGCUAGCGAAGGCAAGCUGAUGAAGUCGUUCGAUCUCAGGUGCACGG
rnacentral:SRP_RNA from 1 species